GCGGGCAACCUCUUCAAGGGCAGGAGCGCCUCCGGCUCUUUCUUCUUCCUCACCUCCCGUCCCCCCUCCUGGGCACCCUGCCAUUCACUGAACCAAAGUAGGACUUAAGAAAUGUCAGCCAGAUGUUGGAAGCAUCUUUCCUCCAGCUGUUUAUGACUCCCCUCCUCCAGCCAGCCCUGCUUUCCCCAGGACCCUCCUCUGACUCAAAGAGGGUGAGACCAGACCCAAGAGGAAGGCCGCCGGGGCUGUGAUGCAGGUGAGGAUCUGAGGAGGGCAGGCCUGUCAGGGAAGGAAUGACUGAAGGAAAUGGGGCAUCUGGGUGGGUGAAGUGAACACUCAGUGGGGUGGGGAUGAGAGGUACCACCAUGUGACAAAGAGACUAGGGUUGAAAUCAAUACCAGGACAACUUCCACUGAAACGGACUAGACCCGGGUUGAAGAACUUUCUAACAGCUGACGCCACCCAACCACAGGCUGGACUGUGGCAAGGCGCAACGGCUUCUGGGAGUACACAAGCCCUGGUGGGCUUCCUGGCCUGCACUGGGACACACACACACACACAUACACACCCCCCAUCAUGCAAGGCCUGCUUUGGAAUUUCCCCUGAAAUUCCCUGCCCAGUACCUUUUUGGGUUGUGGCAGCUAAGUACCACCUCCACGCUGCUAAGGAAUCUCGUGUGCAGGCCUCUCAGAGCAGCGCCCAGCGCUGGGCUUGGACCAGAAGGGUGGGAGAGCACCCAGCCCUGCCCCCAGGCCUCAGAAGAUGGGUGGCUCGGUUCCCCUUUCUGCACUAGCCUCCACCCAGCCCCAGGGGAAAUGAAAGUGGCCAGACCGGACAACUCGGAAAACUGACUCACUGUGAGCUGGGGGAGGGAAAGGAUGUGGAGAAAAUCACAUGUGGGUCCCCCAGACCAACUCUCCAUCUCUCACCCUGUAACUCAUCCCUCAACCCCCAAGCCUGCUGGUGGUCACCGUACGCUGUGGCUCACAGCAUCAGAGGGCCUCACCCAAUCCUCAUACCUCCCCAAGGCCUGGGUCCUGCAACAGAGGGGUGACAGUCACCAGUAGCAGGCCAUUCUGGCUAAGAGAAGGUGGACAGAGGAAAGCUCUGUUGACACAGAUGGCAAGGCAAGCUUCCCAGAUGACCCUGCACACAUGGUCAGGCCCGCAGCUGUGCCAAAGGUGGUGCAACUGGGAAGCCAGAAAGGCCGACUCCUCUGCCCAGGGCAAGGAGGAAGUCAGGGCGAGUCCCACUGCCUGGCCCAGGACAGCACUGCUCUUCAACACAAAGGUUUUGAAAGUAUAACUCUGACCUGUUGGCAGCAAGGUGCAGCCCCUUCAAGCAACACAGGGAGGGGCUCUGGAGAGGGCCUCCUAUGACAAGCCUGACCAGGGCCAAGAGAGUGUCUGUCCAGCACAGCACCAAGACCAGGAUAAGCGGCAGCUCCCCAGGGAGGCUUUCUCCCACCCGGAGAUAGGCUUAGAUCUGAUUCAGACUAUCCCAAUGCCAGGAGUUUCGCAUUUCAGUGCCUUUGUGCCACAUCCCUACAUUCCCUCCAGAUAGAAGCAGGCACCCAGAUUCGCAGGGUGUCCCAGAAGCUAUAACACAGUCCUGAGAAAGUCCAUCCUACACCCUCUACCCGCUGCUGGGAGGAGGACUUGACAUUCCAUCAGAGGGCAGGCUGGUCAGGGGGUCUGCCCUGAUUCCUUGACAGCUGAGCAGGUCUGCAGCCCGCAGACCUAGCCUUGUGGAUUUGAGCCCUGGAAAGCAGGGAAAGCCAGAAGCGCAUGCAUCAGCUUCCAUGGAAACAUCAAAGGAGGUGUGGCCUGCUGAGGACCUGAGGAAGCCCCCAUAGGUGAAAGGGCAGCCCAGGAGCUCCUCCUGAGAUGGGGAGGCGCCACAGCUCCUGGAGUCCCAGGAGCCAGCCACCAGAGGAGCCUGGAACACUGUGGGCUCUAGUUUCGUUUUUAAGUUCGGGGGAAGGCCGUAAAGAAACUAGUCUAAGAAGCAUCGCGCCCGUGGUUCUUCUCUGUUAGGAGGGUCAGUGCCUUCUUUUCUCGGCCGCGAAUCGAAGGAUGACCGGCGCCUGUGCCUGACACCAUCUUCCUACACACUCUGCCCGAAUUCUUGCCAUUGGCCUUAAGAUCCACGGAGGAUGAACCGUUUAAGCUUCAUUCUCUUCGUGGAAAGGAUUAGGGGUGCCCGGGGAAGAGGUAUCCAAGCGCACAGAAGGGGGUAAUCGGGGCUUGCCCCUCCAUGGCCCAAGCCGGGCGCCCGGGCGCUGCCCAUCCUUGGCGAUGGCGAGAGGAAGGGAGAGGAGCAGCAGAGCUGGCGCCGCUGGCAGCAGUGCUGACUCCGCCGCCCGCUCUUCUGGGCUCCCCGGGCACCUUAGGGACGAAGGCUGGUGGUGUGGGGCACGCCACGCUCAUCAGGACAGAGGAGGCAUCUUGGAGGCCGCCGGAACGGCGGGGCGCGCCCUGCCUUAGGCGUCCCUCCCCGCCUCCCACCGAGCUUGGGCGCCAGGAGGAGCCGGAGGCUGACCCCUCCCGCCCGCCCGCCGCGCUCCAGUCCCUCGCCCGCCGCCGGCAGGUGCCCCGCGGCGCGGAGAGGAGCGCGCGGCAGCCGCGACCUACCUGCCUGAGGUGCGCCCGCGUAGCUGCGCCCUGGAGCAGGGGCCAGGCGGUGGGGCCGAGCUGCGCCCUCCUGGCGCUGCGCUUGUCCGCCCGCCCGCCCGCCCGCCAGGCACUUCCGCAUCACCCGCCCCCGCCCCUGGGCCGCGGCCGCUGAGCCUCCGUGCGCGGACACCGCCCCGCCCUGCCCGCUGAGCCACCUUGGGGUCCCCGCGCAGACCAAGCGACCGAGGGACCGGGCUGAGCCUCGGGCCAGGCCGGCCCCCCUGCAGCCCAGGGCCUUGGAGGAGACAUCCGGCAGCGAGGUGGCCUGGACGGACCCCUGGGCUCCUUCAGCAAUCUGGAAGCACAAAAUAGUCGUUCGACAGCCCCAGUCCCCCGCCCCACUCUGCCGCAGUGCUCGGCUGGGCCCGGGAGCUUCCCGGCCUGUCCCUCCCGGAGCUACACAUGUAUGCAGGCACUGGCGAUCAACUGAGCCAAGUACGAGCGCGGUGGGGCAGACGGAUAGACAGCCCCCGGCCCUCGCCUCGCCCGCCAGCGAACGCUUCCGAGGCUCGCCCCGCGCCCAGCUGCUGGCACCCAGACUCAGACCCCACCCCAUCCCCGUCCACGACGCGCCUGUAGACAGGGAUCCUCAGGCUACUCUGUUUCUUUCUAAUUCGCCCCCUUGGCACCUGCUUGCCCCAGCUCCCCCUCCCCGAUCGUUUUCGGGGGGGGGGGGGGAGUGCCUCUCAGAGUCAGCGCCUUGGUCACUUGUCCCACCUCCCGAUACCGUGGCCAUCCAUCUGCCGUUAUCAAUGUUUUUCGGCUCCACAGGUGGGCCUCCCUCGCCGACCUCAGCCUUCACACAUCCUGUUCCCUCUCCUGGAGCAUUCUUCGCUUGGGAAAUCCUGCUCGGCUUCAAAUUUUGUUUCAGCAUCACCUCCUCUGGAAAGCUUGCCUUGACUUCUCUUCCUAGGUCGGGUUCGCGGGCUCUGAGGCUAGUCUUCGCUGGUUUUCACUUAGGAUUUAAUGUCUGAUUUCCACUAGAAUCAGCCUACUCAGGGAUCACUCUUCUAUUUUCUAUAGUAAUGGUUAAUAAAAAUAUUUUUAAAGGAAGGAAAUUUAUGUCAAUUGAUUAAAUUUUAGAUAGAAACUAAAAUAUAUACAUUCUAGAAAGUACUGUCUGCUCUUUAAAGCCUGUAUUUUUUUCUUUUCUUUUUUUAAAAUUAAUUUAUUUAUUGGCUGCGUGGGGUCUUUGUUGCUGUGCGAGGGCUUUCUCUAGUGAGCGGUGGCUGCUCUUCGUUGUGGUGCGCCGGCUUCUCAUUGCCAUGGCUUCUCUUGUUGCAGAGCAUGGGCUCUAGGCGCUUGGAGUUCAGUAGUUGCAGCACGCGGGCUCAGUAGUUGUGGUUGACAGGCUCUAGAGCACAGGCUUGGUAGUUGUGGCACACGGGCUUAGUUACUCCAAAGCACGUGGGAUCUUCCCAGACCAGGGCUCAAAAUGUGUCCCCUGCAUUGGCAGGCGGAUUCCCAACCACUGUGCCACCAGGGAAGUCCCUAGAGCCUGUAUUUUUAACAAAUACAGGCGUAUUAGUUGAUGAAUCAGAACUUUGACCUUGCCCUCCCGUCUCCAUCUCCAUAGGAAAACCUGGGUUGGUCUUUACCCCUGAUCUGUAUCAUCACUCAUUAUGUGUUGUCUUUUUCCUUCUCUCCUGCAUCUCGCUCCCUCUCCCUGACUUUUG